GUUUGGGUUUGGACCACAAUUCCUUGGUUUUAAUCGCAUGCGCAGGGAACUCCAUUUUCGCCUUGACGAUCAGAGCAAGGCUUUUUACGCGCAGCUGUAUUUCGGAAAGUUGUAGUUUCAACAAUUUCAUUGAAGAUAUCCUGGCGAAUUACAUCAUCUAAAGCGAAGUCAAACUCUAAAGUAAAAGUGAGACAGAUUUUUUUGUUUGAGGAAUCUUUGAGUGUUAUGAUUCAAACGAACAGAGGAGCUGUUUCUGCAAGGACAGGACGUACUUCUGGACGGAGUGGAAGAUGCAGAGGAUUUGGAUGAUGACGUUUGGAUGAUGACCCUCCCCAGCAAGUGCCCCCACCGGUCAAGGUCUUCACACCCCAGUGCUAUGUCAAUCACCCCGUCUGAUGAUUCUACAUCCCCUUUUCAUAGACCUCUUGGAAAAAGAAAAUAUGGAUUGUGGAACGAACAGAAUCGGUUUCCCCAAUACCAAGAUAAACGACAUGACAAAGACAGUGGAGAGGGAGACCAUAUGUCGGAUCAGGACUAACAAGCUUCUUUUUGUGAAAUGGACGGACAAGUAACCAUGCUCACCACACAGUGUAAGGCAUUCAAUAACGACCAUGUCUCAAGGAGGGUGUAAAAGGAAGAAUGCCCUCAUUCCUGUUUCUUUGAAGGACUCCAAUGCCAGCAUGAUGGCCAAAGCAAAAGGUCAAACCCUUCUCUCCCAGUUGGCCUUCGGAGAGCAGCUGGUGUUGGAAACGGCUGAAUUGUGGGCCCAAAGCAACCUCACAAGACCCCCACUCAAAGUGAGCGUCACUAUCCAACACACAUGCCAAAAGAUAAAAGGAAGAACUGUAAGUAUUGCACAAAACAGGGGGGAAAAAGGGGGAAAUGCCAGAUCUUCUGUCCAAAAUGCCAGUUCAUUUUUAGUUUCCUGGCAGAGAGGGACUGCUUCAAAGGCAAACACGACAUGCACAAGCUACAGUGAAAGUGAAAUCUAAUCAUCUACACCUGGGAUAUAAAACGAAUACGAAUGUCAUUUGUAAAUAGCUCAGCUUAUUUCUAUUUUUGCUAAAUGUUUAGUGAAGGACACAUGUGUAACCAAGUUUGUGUUUUAUAAGACACUUGUCUAUAUUUUUAAAGUAUAUUUGUUGCUUUUAUAUUGUUUUUGUAAACACUCCAUUUGUAUGUGGGACCAAUACAUGGGAUAUGCCUAGAUUAAAUGUUCAGGCACUUUGGAGAGGUUGAAAGGACACUUGAAUGUACCCUGGAUACCCCCAUAGCACCCAUAUAAUUUUUAAGUGAGGUUGAUAUGGUAGAAAUUGUGUUUUUAUACUGAACAAAUUUACAGACUUAUGUAUUUAUAUUUACUUAUUUUUAUUUAACCCUUAUUUUACAAUGUAAGUCGACAGAGAACACAUUCUCAUUUACCUAUGCCACUUUGGAGAGGUUUAGAGACACUUGGAAACGUCCUGUGACCACACCUGAAACCACUUACUAAACAUCUGCCCAUUUCAAGUUGUUAGG
ensembl:lncRNA